rnacentral:piRNA from 1 species
UGUGAGCCCUUAACCUCAGCAAAAGUUGGU